GUAAAACUUAAGUAAAGCUAUUUUUAAAAAUAUUCAAUUAAUCCAAAAGAAAGCCAAAAAAAGAAGAAAGGUGAAUGAACUUGGAUGUGUUCAAAUAGAAUACACUCAUGAAUUAGUAAAUACAAAUACAAUUAUAUUAAGAAUUAUAUAAAAUGUAAAUGUCUAAACACUCAAAUCAAAUGGCAGACAUUGAGAGAUUGGUUAAAAAAUUCCAACCACUGGCUGUCUACAAGAAAUCCUAUUUAAUUAUAAAGAUGUGUAGAGAUUUAAAGUUAAAGGAUGGGAAAUAAUUAUAGUAUGAAAGCAUUAACUCAGGAAAGCUAUAAUCACUACUUAUAUCAGACAAAGCAGACUUCAAAACAAAUAGUUCCAGAGCAAAAAAGAGGUAUUAUAUAAUAAUAAAAGAAUCAAGUAAUCAAUUAGGUCUAAAAAUUCUAUAUGUAUAUGCAUCAAACCACGCAAUUUCAGAAUGCAUGAAGCAAAAACUGGUAGACCUGCAAAGAGAAAUAGAAAAAUCUACAAUUGUAUUGGACAUCUCAAUACUCCUAUUUCAGUAACUGAAUAAGUAAAUGGGAAUCAGUAAGGAUAUAGAAAACCUGGACAACAUAGGCUGGGCGCGGUGGCUCACGCCUGUAAUCCCACCAUUUUGGGAGGCUGAGGUGAGUGGAUCACCUGAGGUCAGGAGUUCGAGACCAGCCUAGCCAAUUUGGUGAAACCCCAUCUCUACUAAGAAUACCAAAAUUAGCUGGGCAUGUUGGCAGGCACCUGUAAUAUCCCAGCUAUUCUGGAGGCUGAAGCAGGAGAAUCACUUGAACAAGGGAGGCAGAGGUUGUAGUGAGCCAAGAUCGUGCCAUUGCACUCCAGCCUGGGUGACAGAGCAAGACUCUGUUUCCAAAAAAAAAAGAAAAAGAAAAAAAAGAAAACCUGGAUAACACUAUCAACAACUUGACCUAAUUAAUAUUUUGAAUACACUAUACAACAUGAACUAAAUACAUAUUUGCAUAUGCACAUGAAAUUUUUGCCAAAAUACACUGUGUUCUCAGCUAUAAAGAAACAUCAACAAAUUUUGAGCAAUUGAAAUCAGGCAACAUAUGCUAUCUCACCAAAUGGAAUUAAAAUAAAAAUAAAUAACAGAAAGAAAUCUGGAAAUGCUCAAAUAUUUGGAACUAAAUAACACACUCUAAAAUAGCCCAUAGGUCAAAGAGCAAAUAGCAAUAGAAACUUAAAAAUAUUUUGCACUGAAUGAAAAAGAAAACACAACAUAUGGAACACACCUAAAACAGUGCUUAAAUUGACAUUUAUGUAACAUUAAAUGCCAAUUUUUAAAAACAAUGACGUUUCUGAAACAAUAUUAUAAGAUUUUAAGAAACCAUAAAAAAAAGCGGAACAAAUUAAACUCAAAGCACGCAAACGGAAACAGUAAAAUUAAGAGCAGAAUUCAAUGGAAUGUAAAACACAAAAAGAAUAGAACUAAAACCUGAUUCUUUGAAAAAAAUUAAUAAAAAUAUAACAAAGAUGCCCAAGUAAAAGUUCAGGACAUGAUAGCUGCACAGCUGAAUUCUACCAAAUAUUCUAAAAAGAACUGGUGCCAAUCCUUUUCAAAAUUUUUUAAAAAUCCAAACUCAUUUUAUAAGGUCAGCAUUACCCUGAGACCAAAGCCAGAAAAGGACACUACAAGAAAAGAAAUUUACAGACCGAUAUCCCUGAUAAUCAUAGAUGCAAAAAUCCUCAAUAUUAGCAAAUGAAUCCAACAGCACAUUAAAAGGAUCAUUCGCCAUGAUGCAGUGGGAGUUAUUUCUGGGAUGCCAGAAUUGUCCAACAUAAUCGAUAAAUGUGGUACACCACAUUAAUAAAAUAAAGGAUAAAACUCAUAUUAUCAUCUCAACAGAUGCAGAAAAUGUAUUUGACAAAAUUCAACACUCUUUCAUGAUAAUAACUUAAGGAUAGAAUAAAUAUAUCUCAACAUACUAAAGGCCAUAUAUGACAAGCUCACAGCUAACAACAUACUUAACGGUGAACAUCUGAAAGCUUUUCCUCUAAGAUCAGGAGUAAACGAAAGUGCCCAUUCUUACCACUACCAUUUAAAAUAGUAUUCAAAGUCCUAGCCAAAGUAAUCAAUCAAGAAAACAAAAUAAAAUACAUCCAAAUCAGAAAGAAAUAAGUUAAAUUGUCUGGGUGCAGAUGACAUAAUCUUAUGUAUAGAAAACUCUAAAGAUUCCCCCCAAAACUGUUAGAACUAAUAAAUAAAUUCAGUAAAGUAGCAAGAUAUAAAAAUCAAUAUAUAAAAAUCAAUUGUAUUUCUAUAUGGUGAUGACAAGCUAUUCCAAAAAAUAAGAAAACAG
rnacentral:lncRNA from 10 species